UAAGGGUUCCUGGGUCAAGCUGAUCUGCCCAGGGUAAGUCGGGACCUAAGGCGAGGCCGACAGGCGUAGUCGAUGGACAACCGGUUGAUAUUCCGGUACCCGCUUUGAAACGCCCAAUAUCGAAUCAGGCGAUGCUAAGUCCGUGAAGCCGCCCUGGAGUCUUCGGACAAAGGGGAGUGGUGGAGCCGACGAACCAGAAUUGUAGUAGGUAAGCGAUGGGGUGACGCAGGAAGGUAGUCCAGCCCGGGCGGUGGUAGUCCCGGGGUAAGGGUGUAGGCCGUGUGAUAGGCAAAUCCGUCACACAUUAAGSCUGAGACCUGAUGCCGAGCCGAUUGUGGUGAAGUGGAUGAUCCUAUGCUGUCGAGAAAAGCCUCUAGCGAGUUUCAUGGCGGCCCGUACCCUAAACCGACUCAGGUGGUCAGGUAGAGAAUACCGAGGCGUUCGGGUGAACUAUGGUUAAGGAACUCGGCAAAAUGCCCCCGUAACUUCGGGAGAAGGGGGGCCAUGUCUGGUGAGGGAACUUGCUUCCUGAGCUGGGUGUGGCCGCAGAGACCAGCGAGAAGCGACUGUUUACUAAAAACACAGGUCCGUGCGAAGCCGUAAGGCGAUGUAUACGGACUGACGCCUGCCCGGUGCUGGAACGUUAAGGGGACCGGUUAGC
rnacentral:rRNA from 1 species